rnacentral:lncRNA from 1 species
AAUAACCAGUGCAAAAUAUACAUCCGUUUGUUAGUAUCUGACAAUCAUCCCUCCCUUAUUCCCCUUCUCGUAAAAAAAAAGUUAAAUUAAAGCAAUAAUAUGACACCUCCACAAACCCACUUACUUGCAAACCUAUUACUUGUCACAACGAAAUAUUAUUACAGCCAAAUUGAAACUGCUUUCAAAUUCGACAAGGUCAAUAUAUCACCGAAAGUGCGACCAAAACGCACAACAAUUAUUCGGCAAAAUUUGGAAAAAGAAAUUCCAAUAAAGAUGUCAAACAUCAACUGCAACGCAAAUAUCAAUUAAAAUGUAUAUUUAAAAUAAUUUUGAAAAAUUAUAACAAAUCUGCAUCUUGAUCAAAUAAAGCCAUACUUUGACUGCAACCAAAGGAAUAGAUUGAUAAAUUAAAAUCUUGAAAACGCUACCAGUGCGACACGAUGCAGAAGGAGUGGCAUAUAAGGUGGAUGUGUGAAACCGAAGAUUUUGACACAAACCCACUUACUUGCACAAACCCACUUACUUGCAAACCUAUUACUUGUCACAACGAAAUAUUAUUACAGCCAAAUUGAAACUGCUUUCAAAUUCGACAAGGUCAAUAUAUCACCGAAAGUGCGACCAAAACGCACAACAAUUAUUCGGCAAAAUUUGGAAAAAGAAAUUCCAAUAAAGAUGUCAAACAUCAACUGCAACGCAAAUAUCAAUUAAAAUGUAUAUUUAAAAUAAUUUUGAAAAAUUAUAACAAAUCUGCAUCUUGAUCAAAUAAAGCCAUACUUUGACUGCAACCAAAGGAAUAGAUUGAUAAAUUAAAAUCUUGAAAACGCUACCAGUGCGACACGAUGCAGAAGGAGUGGCAUAUAAGGUGGAUGUGUGAAACCGAAGAUUUUGAAUAUACCUGCUUCUAGAGAGAACAAGAGCACUCGAAACCCUAACGCCAGAGAGAG